rnacentral:rRNA from 1 species
GACGAACGCUGGCGGCGUGCCUAAUACAUGCAAGUCGAACGCAGUGGGGACGGGUGAGUAACACGUGGGUAACCUCCCAUCAGAGGGGAUAACACGUGGAAACAGGUGCUAAACCGAGACUGAUGGAUGGACCCGCGGUGCAUUAGCUAGUUGGGGGGGUAACGGCUCACCAAGGACACGUUGCAUAGCCGACCUGAGAGGGUGUUCGGCCACACUGGAACUUGGGCACGGCCCAGACUCCUACGGGAGGCAGCAGUGGGGAAUCUUCGGCAAUGGACGAAAGUCUGACCGAGCAACGCCGCGUGGAUGAAGAAGGUUUUCGGGUCGUAAAGUUCUUUUGUUAGGUAGGCGGUAUCUGACCAGAAAGCCCCGGCUAACUACGUGCCAGCAGCCGCGGUAAUAC